CAAGCGGUGGAGCAUGUGGUUUAAUUCGACGCAACGCGAAGAACCUUACCGGGGCUUGACAUCUUUUUGACCGCCUGGGAAACCAGGUUUUCUUCCUUCGGGAAGACAGAAAGACAGGUGGUGCAUGGUUGUCGUCAGCUCGUGUCGUGAGAUGUUGGGUUAAGUCCCACAACGAGCGCAACCCUUGUCCUUAUUUGCCAGCCUGUUUACAGGCGCACUCUAAGGAGACUGCCGUAGAUAAUACGGAGGAAGGUGGGGAUGACGUCAAAUCCUCAUGCCCCUUACGUCCCGGGCUACACACGUGCUACAAUGGUCUGUACAGAGGGUUGCCAAGGAGCAAUCCGGAGCCAAUCCCACAAARCAGGCCCCAGUUCGGAUUGGAGGCUGCAACUCGCCUCCAUGAAGGUGGAAUCGCUAGUAAUCGCGGAUCAGCAUGCCGCGGUGAAUCCGUUCCCGGGCCUUGUACACACCGCCCGUCACACCACGAAAGUUGRCGAUACCUGAAGUURCCAUACCAACCCUUCGGGGAGGAAGGUACCGAAGGUAUGGUCAGCGAUUGGGGUGAAGUCGUAACAAGGUAACCAAGGGCGAA
rnacentral:rRNA from 1 species